CCCCACUGGGGGUCUUUGGGGUUUUGUGGUGCCCUUUAUGGGAUUUUCCCCCCUACAGCCGCUCCCGAUCCGCGCGGCCUCCCCCGAAUUUGGGAUCCUGACACCGACGACCCCAUAUCCGACGACCCCAUAUCCGACAUCGCCGCCCCAUUGUUUCUGUCCUCCCGCGGCUUCGCUCCACCCCACAACAGCGACGACCCCAUAAAGGCGACGUCCGACCCCAUAAACGCCGACUCUCCGUCACCCCAUAAGCUGGACUCGUUCCCGACCCUAAAAGACGACAAUGGGGACGAAGAGCUGAACUUCGAAUUCCUCCCCGUGGAUUUGGGGUCAAAAGGGAAGAAAAAGGGCAAAAGGAACGCCGGCCCCGUUGGGGUUGACCCUAUUGAUCCUAUUAGGGUCAGGGUUGGCCCCGCUGACCCUAUAAGGGUCGGGGUUGAUCCCACUGGUCCCACUGGGGUCAAAGUUGACCCGUUGGCCAACGUUGACCCCAUAAGGGUUGGGGUCGACCCCAUUGACCCUAUAAGGGUUGGGGUUGACCCCACUGACCCCAUUAGGGUCGGGGUUGACCCCACUGACCCUAUUAGGGCCAGGGAUGGUCCAUUGGCCAACGUUGACCCUAUAAGGGUUGGGGUCGACCCCACUGACCCCAUUGGGGUUGGGGUUGACCCCAUUGACCCCAUUGGGGUUGGGGUUGACCCCAUUGACCCCAUUAGGGUCAGGGCUGGCCCGUUGGCCAACGUUGACCCCAUAAGGGUUGGGGUCAACCACACCCACCCCAUUGGGGUCAACCCAUUGGCCAAGGUUUACCCCAUUGUCACGGCGGCGCAUUUUGGGGUCGCGGGGCUUUUGGGGGAUCCCAAUCUUUUGGGGGAUCCCAAUCUUUCGGGGGACAUCAGCGGUUCCGGGGACACCGAUCUUCCCACCACGACCCCAAAAACCCCAAACCCCAUAACCACCCCAAAUCCCACCACCACCCCAAAGCAAGGGCUGUGCCAUAAUAACGGGGUGCACAUCAAUGGGAUUUGUCACUGCACCCCAUUAUUUUAUGGGGUCGAGUGUCAGUACGCCAAGGAGAGCGUGGAGGUCAACGACGGUAUGGGGUCGGCCCUAUAUGGUUAUAGGGUGGGGGUAUGGGGUCGGCCCUAUAAGCUUAUAGGGUGGGGGUAUGGGGUCGGCCCUAUAAGCUUAUAGGGUGGGGGUAUGGGGUCAGCCCUAUAAGCUUAGAGGGUGGGGAUACGGGGAUGGCCCUAUAAGCUUAUAGGGUGGGGAUAUGGGGUCUGGGGGGACAGAAGUGUGGGAUCGGGGUCAGUGAGGAUGUGGGAAUGGGGUUUUGGGGUUGGCAUUGGGGGAUGGUUAUGGGGUCGGGGUUAUCAGCGGGGGAUUGGGGUCCCUAUAGGGGCAGAUAUGGGAUAUGGGGUCCCUAUAAGGGCAGAUAUGGGAUAUGGGGUCUUUAUAGGGGACAGAUAUGGGGUCCCUAUGGGGGCUGAUAUGGGGUAUGGGGUCCCUAUGGGAUAUGGGGUCCCUAUAAGGGCAGAUAUGGGGUAUGGGGUCCCUAUAAGGGCAGAUAUGGGAUAUGGGGUCUUUAUAGGGG
rnacentral:lncRNA from 1 species